rnacentral:rRNA from 1 species
AGAGUUUGAUCCUGGCUCAGGAUGAACGCUGGCGGCGUGCUUAACACAUGCAAGUCGAACGGACUCAUAUUGAAACCUAGUGAUUUAUGAGUUAGUGGCGGACGGGUGAGUAACGCGUGGAAAACCUGCCGUAUACUGGGGGAUAACACUUAGAAAUAGGUGCUAAUACCGCAUAAGCGCACAGCUUCGCAUGAAGUGGUGUGAAAAACUCUGGUGGUAUACGAUGGUUCCGCGUCUGAUUAGCUUGUUGGUGGGGUAAUGGCUCACCAAGGCGACGAUCAGUAGCCGGCCUGAGAGGGUGAACGGCCACAUUGGGACUGAGACACGGCCCAAACUCCUACGGGAGGCAGCAGUGGGGAAUAUUGCACAAUGGGGGAAACCCUGAUGCAGCGACGCCGCGUGUGGGAAGACGGUCUUCUGGAUUGUAAACCACUGUCCCCAGGGACGAAAAUGACGGUACCUGGGGAGGAAGCUCCGGCUAACUACGUG